GGUGCAUUAGCUAGUUGGUAAGGUAACGGCUUACCAAGGCGAUGAUGCAUAGCCGAGUUGAGAGACUGAUCGGCCACAAUGGAACUGAGACACGGUCCAUACUCCUACGGGAGGCAGCAGUAGGGAAUCUUCCACAAUGGGCGCAAGCCUGAUGGAGCAACACCGCGUGAGUGAAGAAGGGUUUCGGCUCGUAAAGCUCUGUUGUUGGAGAAGAACGUGCGUGAGAGUAACUGUUCACGCAGUGACGGUAUCCAACCAGAAAGUCACGGCUAACUACGUGCCAGCAGCCGCGGUAAUACGUAGGUGGCAAGCGUUAUCCGGAUUUAUUGGGCGUAAAGCGAGCGCAGGCGGUUGCUUAGGUCUGAUGUGAAAGCCUUCGGCUUAACCGAAGAAGUGCAUCGGAAACCGGGCGACUUGAGUGCAGAAGAGGACAGUGGAACUCCAUGUGUAGCGGUGGAAUGCGUAGAUAUAUGGAAGAACACCAGUGGCGAAGGCGGCUGUCUGGUCUGCAACUGACGCUGAGGCUCGAAAGCAUGGGUAGCGAACAGGAUUAGAUACCCUGGUAGUCCAUGCCGUAAACGAUGAGUGCUAGGUGUUGGAGGGUUUCCGCCCUUCAG
rnacentral:rRNA from 1 species